GCGCGGGGGGCGGGCCGAGGGCGGGCCCGGCGGUGGCGAGGGCCGCGGGGUAGCCACUGCCUGGCGCCCGCUAGCCUUCGGCCACCUGGGGACCGCACGCACCUCGUCACCUCGGGGGUGCUGGCGUGGGUCCCUCGCGGUCCGGCGGCGACUGUAAAUAGAGCCUGGAUGUUGUUUACAUGAAGGAUCCGGCGGGAGGAGUCUGCGAGGAGGAGGCGGAGGAGGAGGAGGAGGAGGAGGAGGAGGAGGCAGAGAGGAAGACCGGAGUCCCCGCCGCGGCGGCGGGCCAGGGCGAGGGUGAGCCCGCGCGCGGGGUCCGGGGACGGGCGCUACCACGAGGCUGAGACGAGACGCUGGACCCUGGGGUUCACCUGUUUAUUUUCAUCAGCCGGAGCUUGCAGUGUUUUACGUAGUCUUGAGAGGCUGUUUCUUUUAUUAGAAGCAUUGGGGAUGGGGCCGUAUUGCUGUAAUUUAUGCCGGUCCAGGUCGGUUUUCAAGAAGGGGGAGGGGACUUGGCGGACACCGCCUGCUCCUGGCCUUAGCUGACCCCAGGCUGCUCCCUGCCUUCCCGGGCCAAAGAAUCCUUUCCUUCGCUCAGCCGCCUGCUCGCCAGAAGCCACCUUCUUGGAGAAGGACCACACCUGUGCUUAUUCCCGCUUUGGAGGAGAGAGCAUCCCUGGAGUUGCCAGAGAGGACCCUUCUGUAAAAGCCAGCGUCUCCCUUCCGUGACAUCACACCUAAGCCCUUCCAACUUUAGCUUCAGAACAGGAAGAAGGCUCAAAAUAGAACUACCUUAGGAAUCCAGCGCCUUUAGAAGAUCAACUUUUAAAUCAGCUGCAGGGGGAACACUGAACUUGGACAUGGGGAGAGAAUGCUGUAGUGUUUGUAAUUGGUUCCUUUGGGUAAGGGUGGGGGCAUGUAUAUUCAAAAAAGCUUUUCUCAAGACAACUUAGGUACCUAGACCAAUGAAUGAUUAAUAGGAUGGUUCGAGAUUCAUUUAUUGAAUUAUUCAUGUUUCAUUACGUCAACAACAAGCACUGUUCAGAAUGAAGUAGGGGGGCUCCUGGAAUGUGGGCUAGAGAGGAUGCUAGAGAUAAAGGAGGUUGUGGGGCGGGGGUAGAGUAGGCAGGAGCACUUGAGGAAGGUGAAGAACCCAUGGGUGUGGUGACAGCUACUGUGCGUAUGGAAGUCCAGAAGCUCAAUAUAAACAAUGGCCAUAACUUUGAAGGGUGACUAACCUCCUGGACAGAGAAGUAACAAAUGUUAGUCAGGAUUUUCCACCUUUACCUCCAAAACAACGCCUUUGAAUAUCUUUGAAUCUCAGUGUCUCCAUUCUUUCUUUGAAUUGAGAUGUGUCUUUCUCCCUGAGCUAAAAGAGUUGUUCAGUCUUGGGAAAAGUUGCUUAAUAAAUGACCAUCACUGAAAUAUUGACAAUUUAAGUAAGGAUUAGUAGUUGGGCAGAAAGUAUUUGGCAUAAUUUGAGCACCUGGUGGGUGAUGUAGAAGGAGUUGCUGUUGAAUGGGGUAACUUCUUUUAAUCUGGUUCAGGUUUAAAAGAAGCCAGGUAACAAAGACAGGGUUGGCUAUACCUGCAUUAAUGCAGUAACCACUUAGACAGGUGGCUGUCAAGCACCUGAAAUAUGGCCAUGGUGAUGAGGAACCUAACUUCAAAUUUUAUAUCAUUCUUAAAAUUGAUAUUUGAUUCAGGUAUUGGAAAAUUUAAAUACAUUUGGAAACAAUUUGGGCACAUGCAUGUACUUUUUAAACUGUAAAUCUUAAUCCAAAUAAGGAUUUCUGAUGAAACUUAGUGUUCAAAUUGAGAUGCAUUAUAAGCAUAAAAUAUGCUCCAUAUUUCAAAGAUUUAGUACUAAAAAAGAAAGUGAAAUAUCUCAUGAAUAAUUUUAAGUUGUUUACAUGUUCAAAUGAUAAUAUUUUGGAUAUACUGAGUUUAAAUAUAUUAUUAAAGUUAAUUUCAUCUCUUUAUUUUUUAAUGUGGCUAUUAGAAUAUUUUAAAUUACAUAUAUAGAUUACAUUUUCUUCUGUUGGAUGGUGUGGGCCUAUAACAUCACUCCUUUUGAUCCAUGGAUUAAUUACAAAAGAAGUGACUGCAUGACAGUUAUAGCAAGUUUGUCAGUCAUCUACUUUUUUCUGUCUUUUUCCUUGUGGAGAUUUGGGAACCCCCAAGAAUUGUUAUUAUAAUACGUGAGACCUCAUAGUGACUGCUUUGCAGAUUGUUAUUCAGGAUGUGUGCUCUAAUCAAGAAGGUCAGUAAAACGUGAAGGGUAUGAGAAGGGUUAGUGGAGGCAGCAUGGGAAAAUUUAGGCACCCACACAUCUGGCUAUAGCUGCUUUUGUAAAAGACUCCUAGGCAUGCCAGAAUAUAUCCAAGAACAGUGUGAAGCACAGAAACAGUUUUGACAGCUGGUGGCAUCUUAGUGAUCCCACUCACCACUCACCUUUGUUUAUUUUCUCUUCCUCCUUCAUUUACUUUCUAUCCCCAACCACCAUCAGAGCUCCAUUGGUGUUAAUUGUGCCCAGAAGGUUGUUGGCACCCCUCCCCCCCAAAAAAGUACGAUGCUGAUUGGAAUAGAGAGAAUGCUAUAUUGGGGGUUUGGUUUUGUUUCAUGAAUUAGUAUUGGUACAGGGAGGGACUUAUGGGACAUUUAGUACUAUCCCUUUAUUCUAUCAUUGACAAACUGUCAAGUACCUUGUCUAAGAGCAUACCUACAGAGGCUGGAAUUAAAUACACACUUUUGUUGAUAACUUGUUUAGAGAAUCCCUGGGAAAUAAAGAGGUUCAUCAAUUAAUCACAUGUUUGUUGAGCUUGCAUUGUGUGGAAAGGACUGUUACUCGUGUUGUGAAAAACAUGAAAACAGCCCCUGACUUUAGGAACAGUCCUGUUGAUUUGAGUAAAUAAGUAAAUAGUGCCAAAUUAAGUUGCAGGAUACGAUAUAACACUUAAUGAUGAGUGCAACCCCACUGUGGCAUAUGUUACAAGUAGAAAUGUGUUCAUUUCACAGAUUUAGGAAUAGAAGCUCUGCGAAUGGUAGACUCUGCAGAAAAGGGGAAUAUGAUUUUGUUUCUGGAACAGCCCAUGGCUCUAGAAUUGGAGGUCAGCACAAGGCUUUGGUAUUGCCCCUUUAGCUCUCUAUUAAGGGAAUUUGAGGAUUUCAGACCCAGCGUUUUUAAAUGGCAUGGCUGCACUAAUGAGGAGAUAAUGGAUUAAUUGGAGACUGUCAAGGCUUUUAGAGACGGUUAACUAGGGGUGUAUCAUUUUGACUAGUUAUUCUAAAAGGAUAGAAUGCUGAGGUGAAAUUAGAGUAAAACUGACUUGUGAGCAGACCAUAAAACCUAACCUCUGGGGAAAAAAUGGAAUUUAGAGCAAAAGCAGAAAGUAAAAUAACGGUGGUGUAGACAGACUAUAAAAGUAUGUAUGCUGAGUGAAUGUGUAAGGGGUAAAGGCCUGUGUAACAGAAUUUAUGGGCCAGUCCACUUACUUGUAAAGUUUAGUCUCCUGAAACCUUUUUGGACUAAAACCCCAGUCAGCAUAAGCAAGAAAGCACGUUCUUCUUUCUGUCUCUGCAUUACUGUGUGCGUACUUUCCUAUCAUAGAUCUUUUCCUCUAGGUGGGCCCACAUGCUAAGGAGACCAUUUAGCCGUCAGUGCUUAAAGUAAGUAACAGUGACACCCCCGGUUAAUGCUUCUCUGGGAGAAUCAGGGCAGACUUUGCGCAGACAGUGGUCCUUAGCUUUUUCUUGCCUUUCAGCCAAUUUCUUUCUCCUUUAAAAAGUUUCCUACCAAACUUUGGCACCAGUUCUUAAACACUCUUAAUAUAGCAAAGCUUUGCAAUAAAAUGCUAAUAUACAUUCGUUGUACCUCUGACAAAGCAGUAGUUGAAAUUUGAGCAUUUUUGGUUGACAGUACAUUCUUAUAAUAUCACAGUUUGAUCAAAUUUGCAUACAUUAUAAUGUCACUGAGUUGGAUUAUGGUUUUCACAUGGGGGGGGGAGUCGCACCUCAGUAAAAGACUGGUGGAUUUUUUUUUUUUUUUUUACAUUUUUUUUUUUUUUAC